UAACGGCGUCGAGCGGCGGACGGGUGAGUAAUGCCUAGGAAAUUGCCCUGAUGUGGGGGAUAACCAUUGGAAACGAUGGCUAAUACCGCAUGAUGCCUACGGGCCAAAGAGGGGGACCUUCGGGCCUCUCGCGUCAGGAUAUGCCUAGGUGGGAUUAGCUAGUUGGUGAGGUAAGGGCUCACCAAGGCGACGAUCCCUAGCUGGUCUGAGAGGAUGAUCAGCCACACUGGAACUGAGACACGGUCCAGACUCCUACGGGAGGCAGCAGUGGGGAAUAUUGCACAAUGGGCGCAAGCCUGAUGCAGCCAUGCCGCGUGUGUGAAGAAGGCCUUCGGGUUGUAAAGCACUUUCAGUCGUGAGGAAGGCGGUGUAGUUAAUAGCUGCAUCAUUUGACGUUAGCGACAGAAGAAGCACCGGCUAACUCCGUGCCAGCAGCCGCGGUAAUACGGAGGGUGCGAGCGUUAAUCGGAAUUACUGGGCGUAAAGCGCAUGCAGGUGGUUUGUUAAGUCAGAUGUGAAAGCCCGGGGCUCAACCUCGGAAUUGCAUUUGAAACUGGCAGACUAGAGUACUGUAGAGGGGGGUAGAAUUUCAGGUGUAGCGGUGAAAUGCGUAGAGAUCUGAAGGAAUACCGGUGGCGAAGGCGGCCCCCUGGACAGAUACUGACACUCAGAUGCGAAAGCGUGGGGAGCAAACAGGAUUAGAUACCCUGGUAGUCCACGCCGUAAACGAUGUCUACUUGGAGGUUGUGGCCUUGAGCCGUGGCUUUCGGAGCUAACGCGUUAAGUAGACCGCCUGGGGAGUACGGUCGCAAGAUUAAAACUCAAAUGAAUUGACGGGGGCCCGCACAAGCGGUGGAGCAUGUGGUUUAAUUCGAUGCAACGCGAAGAACCUUACCUACUCUUGACAUCCAGAGAACUUUCCAGAGAUGGAUUGGUGCCUUCGGGAACUCUGAGACAGGUGCU
rnacentral:rRNA from 1 species